GUGCUGCCGAAAGGUAGAGAAUAGAGAAAUGGGUGAAAUUCCCGUACGGUACCGCCGCUGUGAGCAUCGAGGUCUCGCAACCGUGCGAAGGCACGCCACUGGGAAACUGGGAAGGCUUUGCGAGACUGCCUGAGAUGCAAGUCAGAAGAACUGCUUGGGCUUUA
rnacentral:ncRNA from 1 species